CUGGCACGAGCCGCGUAGCGGCGAGUGAUCAGUCCCGUAUCUGACACAAUUGACCAUCGGAGUCUUGUAUCUUACUUAAAACAUUGUUCUAUCUAAAAACAAAUGCAUUUAAAGGCAAAAAACCCACGUACAAAUAUACAUUGGUAUAGACAGAUAUAUUUACACCUUUCGUUUCUGAUUUGUUUUUUAAUAUUUAAUAUAUUAGGAAUUCAUAAACUUUAAUGGCACACAAGGUCAACUCUUGUCUUUAAUUCACAAAAAACUGUUAGCUCAUCAUUUCAAUUGUCAUAAUAUGAUACUCCUCAAAACAGGGUUUUGUUCUUCAUGGAAAGCGAUUCGAAUGCUUCUAUUGUCUGAAGACUGUACUCAACAAAACUGGUUUUCUUUUUUGGGUGAAUGAGGCUACGUAAAGGGUGUUCGGAAAGAAUCUUUUAGAAAAAACAAAACAUUGGUUUCCCACAUUCCUUUCUGGGAACCCUGAUGUGAUACUGACACGUGGGCCUAUAACUGGUAUAAAAACAGAAGCCGCAGCCCUCUUUUAGCAUUUAGUCCGGGUGCCUUGAAGAAAUGGAUUCAGAUGAUUGAAAAGUACAUGAGUUUGCGCCCCAGAACUGGAAAAUGCAAUGCAUUUUAUCUCAGAUCAAAAAUCGCUCCUAAGGGGAAUGUAUGGUACGACGUCCCAGUCGGGGUACAUCAACUGCAAUAGAUUGUGGCCAAAAUGUUAGAGGCAGGAUUACAAAUCUCUCUUCGGGCUACUGCCGCUACACGCCUAUAUGCUGCGGGUGUUGACGAGCAACUUAUAGCGGAAAAAACUGGUUACAGGUCAUCUGUGAUUCGCAACUACAAACGCACCUCCGAGGAACAAUUACAGAGUGUAAGUGAUUUGAUUCAGAAACCGUCCAGUGUCCCCGCCGGAGCCGAAGAAAGUAAAGCUCAAUGAAAGUGUUUCCUAUGGAUCAGAAAAAGAAAUAAACAUCACUGCCGGGGAUGCAACAGUGAAUUUGCGAUUUUAAUGUGCAUGUGUUUAAAUGAAUGAUUGUGACAUGGAUUUAUAACUGUGGUGCCUAAACGAUUUCAUAUACGGUAAAAUCGGAUUAUACAUGAAACACUCAUUUCGUAUAAUUUACUGAAAUAUUUCACGCCUUGAAUAUUGUAUUUGAUGUAUAAUAAAUAUGUUUUCUCGCACAACGAA